GGUCGCGCGGCCGAGGUGGAGGUGAGGACUGAGGAGAACUUCCCUUCCCGUCCCAUGGAGACGGAGGACUUCUACUCGGCGCUCCCUUCGGUUUCUCUUCUCGUCGACUCUGCUCUGUUCAUUCGAUUUGAGUUCUGCUCCUUCUCUCGGUUUCGAUCGACGGGUACAGUUUGUGCGAAGGAGGGCGCGCGCACGAACAUGAGGAGUGGUCUGCGAUUGAAUUGGACGUUUACAUUUGAAGAUAAAAUUGUUAAAAUUAAGGCGUCUUCUUGGAUUAGUUCGUGUUCUUGAAGGUCCUGCUUCGGAUCGCGUGGAUACUAACUGCUGGAUAUGUGUGACUCAACACUUUUUUGGGGGUCUAUUUUGGUUUCAGUGAAGACCGUCAACUUGUACUCUUCCGGCGCUCGCUGGCGGUGGAGGGGACGAAAGUAGAUAGCGUACGGAAGCAUCGGCAUUGUGUCGCGUAGGGGAUGGACCGUCGGAGCUGGCUGUGGCGGCGCAAGUCGACGGACAAGAGCCCCGGGGAGACCAAGACCUCGGCGUCCGAGAGGAUCACUGAUGAACAGAUUUAAUUUUUCGUGGAAGGAACAGAGGGAGUAUUAUUCAAUAAACAACAAAUUUAUAGACAUUUAUAUUUUCUUGGCUCCUGGACUAUGGUGCUGCUGUUGAUCUAUGGAGUGCCGGUUGCAUUCUUGCUGAGUUGCUAUCAGGGAAGCCUAUCAUGCCAGGACGAACUGAGGUAUUUUGGCGGUGACCUGCAAAUCAUCUCGAUGGAAGGUAGUAUUAUGCCAUCAUAAUACUACCUUAAAGUGAGGAGACGUAACGACGAGCUCGCUUUCACACAGAUGAUCAAUAUGGUCAAGGUGCGGCAUAACAAUGUGGUUCCAACCAUGGCCUUGGGAGUGCAGCAGCUGAAGAAGGAGCUGGGACGAUCAAGGAAGGUUCCAUUCGAGUUCGAUGAGAUCCACGAGUUCCUUGACCGGUUCUACAUGUCAAGGAUUGGCAUCCACAUGCUGAUAGGGCAGCAUGUGGCUUUGCAUGACCCUAAACCGGAGCCUGGUGUCAUAGGCAUCAUCAAUACAAGAUUAUCCCCAAUCCAGGUGGCUCAAGCUGCUUGUGAAGAUGCAUGUUCUGUCUGUUUAAGGGAAUAUGUAUCAACUCCUGAUAUUAACAUUUAUGGCGAUCCAAAUUUUACAUUUCCGUAAGUUCCAUAAACUUGGAUCUUUAUCGAUGGUAUCAUUUUGUGUUGCCAUCAUGAUGUCGUGAAAUGUUUUUCAAAUUCAAUUUGGAUGUAUCUUAUAGAUCACAUAAUUUGUCUGUGUACAUUUUCAUUGCCUUCAUUAUGUCAGUCCUUUUAAUUGGCUUGCUCUUCGAUAUAAGAAAAACAAGAAAAUAAAAAAACUGAAACAUUAGCUAACCUUUUGGCUUUGUCAAAUGCACAUACGUCACAUUACACCUACACCUGAUGUUAUUUGAAUUGGUGAAGAACUCUCUCCGUGCGGUGCAAGAACGGUAUAUGAACUCUGAUAAAGAUGUUCCCCCAGUUAGAAUUACAGUUGCUGAUGGAGAAGUGGAUGUCACUAUCAAGGUUAGCGAUGAAGGUGGCGGGAUACCAAGAAGCAGCCUCCCAAGAAUUUUUCACGUAUCUGUACAGCACUGCAAAGAAUCCUCCUGAGCUAGAUAGACCUAAUACUGAAGGGGUAACUAUGGAGUAUCACAUCUGUUGGAGAGAAUGGCCUUCAAGAGCACAGUGAAUCGGACCCACUUACGGUUAGUUCGUGAGGUAGAAGCAAUUGGAGGAAAUGUCUCUGCAUCAGCUUCCCGUGAACAAAUGAGCUAUACCUAUGAUGCAUUGAAGAGCUAUACACCAGAAAUGGUUGAAGUUCUCAUUGACAAUGUGAGGAAUCCAGCAUUCCUUGAUUGGGAGGUCAAAGAGCAGACCCAUGAUAGAUUAGCUUGUAUUGUUGAGAUGGAGAGAAUGCAAGUUUGAAUGGCUCUGUGCCACUUGAUGUACAUGAGAGAUUGGAUAAGAAGCUUUGUGCAUAUGGCCAACGACGCCUUCGGCAGGAGAGUCGCCAAACUUCUUGGCGAUGUCUUUCAUGUGUUGCUUUUAGUUCUUUUAAAGACUCCUAUGAGUGUUGUAUCUGACCGAGAACAAUUAUUUCGUGAUGAUUGGGGUAAUUGGGCUGCCCGGUGUAGGCAAGUCAACCAUCAUGAACGAGCUUUAUUAAUAUGAUGCAAGCUACCUGCUGCUUUCCAGUGACAAAAACGAUUCCAAGAAACCACUUCUUGUCUUCCUCCACUGGCUGUCUGUCAUCUUGCUCUAAAACAAUCGCAGUCCUGCAAGUUGUUGCUGCUGCUCCUACCCCUGCCUCUGCAAUUGGGUUUGAGGGAUAUGAGAAGCGCCUCGAGAUCAGCUUCUAUGAGGCACCUGUCUUCGCUGACCCCAACGGAAGGGGAUUGUGUGCACUCUUGCGUCCCUAGAUUUACUCUAUUUCUGACCAUGCACGGUGCACCGUUGUCUCUGAGCUAUCAAACGAGGACUUUGACUCUUAUGUCUUAUCUGAGUCAAGCCUGUUUGUCUACCCAUACAAGAUUCUGAUCAAGACCUGUGGGACUACAAAGCUUCUGCUCGGUAUUCUGAGGAUCCUUGAGCUUGCUAAAGAGCUCUCAUUGCCACUUGUUGCAGCUAAAUACUCCCGUGGGACAUUCAUAUUCCCUGAUGCACAACCUUCCCCACACAAGAACUUUGAUGAUGAGGUUACCUUCCUAAAUCACUUCUUCGAUGGCCUCAGGUUUGGUGGUAAUGCUUAUGUGAUUGGUGAUUCUGCAAAGCAUAAGCAGAAGUGGCACGUCUACUAUGCCACCACUGAGCACCCCUAAGGAGCUUGUUGUUACUCUUGAGAUGUGCAUGACUAGGCUGGACAAGAAGAGAGCUUAUGUCUUCUUCAAGACCUCUAUUGAUGGUUACACAUCUUGUGCUAAGGAUAUGACCAAGCCUUCAGUGAUUGUCAUAGCCUUCUAUUUAUUAUUUCUUCUGAAUUCGAGUUUCAAGACAAAGAACAUAUUUAAGAAUUUGACCAGAAGUCAAGCAUCAACCAUGUCGAGAUUAGCGUGCAUGAUAUGGUUAGUUCUUGUUUGCUAAGCAUAACUCUGACCAGUGGCAUCGUCAAGGAGUGCGUCGUGACCAGUGGUGCUGGCAGCAAGGCCAUGGCACUCAGGGUCCAUGGGUCGUGGGUGUGGCUUGUUCAGCGCCUACUAUUCGCGGGAGUCGGCGAGGUGCCUGCUGAACUUGGUGGAAGUGGAGUACAAUUAUGAUGCUGACAUCGACCUCGUGUUCAUCGACCUGCCCGUGCUAGAGCAGGAGCGGUACCGGUGGACACUGGAGAUUGUGGUGUAGGCCAUGACGCGUGGGCGUCGACGUCAGCGCUUGUCUUCGCGUCUGAGCCACUCUGAGUUGGAGACCAUUGCCAUUUGUGAUGUGCAUGAGAGAUGUAUUGUGGCGUCUUGUUGUAUAAUUGGUAUGGAGAGAGUAUGUUUUGCUAUGUCCGUAUUUGCAUACUCUACAUGCUCUGAAUGUUGUAUAACACUGGACAAUAAAUGAUGAUGUCCCUUCAAUAGGAAUCUCAUCUCUAAACAAUUAAUAGGAAUCUGAUCUUCUUUACUUUGAUCCUGUAUUAUUAACUUAGGAUUUUAUUAUUUCGAUUAAUAGUGUCAUUGAACUAAAUUU